UACUCUAAUCAUAUCACUACUCAAACUUUUCAAAAACCCUAUUGAAAACAUGACAUUUUUAACUGCUUUCCCUGGCAUUUAAGACUUUCCACAACUUGCUUCUUCAGCCUUAUUCAUAUUCUACCCCUUCUUAUAUUCGAACUGUCCCCUCCCAAUCCUGUCCUCUCCAGUGUUAAUGUUUUUGCUCAUGAAAUCCUCUUUGUUUAGAACAGACUCCUCCUUUUUACCAUAUUUCUAUUUAAGUUCCUCUUUUGUCUCAAGGUGCAGCUCAGAAACCACUUCCUCCAUGAAACUGUCCCUGAUAUGCUCUCCCUCCACCCCCACCCCAGAAAUAAUCUUUCCUUCUGUAAAUUUCUUGUAGCAUUUUGUGUGGCUCCAUCUUGCCCCUAGUAUAGCCUACCUUGUAUCAUUAUUUAUUUGUAUUCAUGUCAUUUCCUUCAUCCCAUUAGAUUUCAAGCUCAUUCAUGACAAGGUCUCUAUCAUUUUCUAACUUUGCAUCUCAGUCAUCCAGCAUAGGAGCUGCUUACUAAAUGGGGUUUACAAAAACACUUUUCUCAUAUGAGUUAAACAGAGCUUCAGUGAGCCACUCAACAGUCUUACUUCGGAACAUUGACUGGGGUCGGAGAGGAGCACUCUGGGAAGCCCAUAAGCCCUCUCUC